GCGUGCUUACACAUGCAAGUCGAGUGCGCGUCUGUAGCAAUACAGAUGGCGCACGGCGCACGGGUGCGUAACACGUGGGUAAUCUGCCCUUCGAAGGGGAAUAACUCGCCGAAAGGCGAGCUAAUUCCGCAUAACAUUCCGGGGACUUUGGUUCUUGGAUUCAAAGGAGUAAUUCGUCGGAGGAGGAGCCCGCGCACGAUUAGCUAGUUGGUGAGGUAAUGGCUCACCAAGGCUAUGAUCGUUAGCUGGUCUGAGAGGAUGGCCAGCCACACUGGAACUGAGACACGGUCCAGACUCCUACGGGAGGCAGCAGUGGGGAAUCUUGCACAAUGGGCGAAAGCCUGAUGCAGCGACGCCGCGUGGGGGAUGAAGCUUCUCGGAGUGUAAACCCCUUUCGACCCGGACGAAUGCCCCGCAAGGGGACUGACGGUACGGGUAUAAGAAGCCCCGGCUAACUACGUGCCAGCAGCCGCGGUAAGACGUAGGGGGCCAGCGUUGCUCGGAAUUACUGGGUGUAAAGGGUUCGUAGGCGGUGUGGCAAGUCGGGAGUGAAAUCUCUAGGCUCA
rnacentral:rRNA from 1 species